GAUGAAGAACGUAGCGAAAUGCGAUACUUGGUGUGAAUUGCAGAAUCCCGUGAACCAUCGAGUCUUUGAACGCAAGUUGCGCCCGAAGCCAUUUGGUUGAGGGCACGUCUGCCUGGGCGUCACAUAUCGUUGCCCGAUGCCUAUUGCAUUGUGAUAGGAAAUUCUAGGGCGAAAGAUGGCUUCCCGUGAGCGUUGUUGCCUCGCGGUUGGUUGAAAAUUGAGUCCUUGGUAGGGUGUGCCAUGAUAGAUGGUGGUCGAGUUUGCACGAGACCGAUCAUGUGUGCGCUCCCCAAAAUAUGGACUCUUUGACCCCACACGCGUCUUUUGACGCUCAUGACGAGACCUCAGGUCAGGCGGGGCUACCCGCUGAGUUUAAGCAUAUCAAUAAGCGGAGGA
rnacentral:misc_RNA from 1 species